AAAAGGGUGGGCUAGCCAGGUGAGAGAUGCUUGGAGUCUGCUGGCUGUGAGGAGCUGCCCGUGAGAAAUUACAGAGAAGUUAUGAAAGUUUUACAGUAAGACAAGAAUGACCUCACCAGAUAUGGAACCAAAACUUCCUAUAUGAGGACACUGGGCUGCUUUACUAGCUAAGAACCUAUCUCCUGUGAGGCUAUACAUGAUGAAAACUCCUCUGAUGAAAGUAAGGGUCUUAAACCUCACAAAGAGGAGGUAUAGGUAUCAGCAAAGGGAACAGCUGAAUUUAAAUGAUGAAAAUCUACAUCAAAUAAUUCAAGAAGAUGUAAGGUGAACUGGGACAGUACAUGACAACGGGCUUGAAAAGCACUUCAAAAGGCUUUAUAGAUAGUAGAUCUUUUAUCCAAUAGCUGGUUGUUUUAAAUCAGUAUCUGGAAAGUAACGUUUGCAUGUUCUUAAAAAAAACCAAAACUUUCUUUCCCAAGCAUUUGACUUGGUUUCUAAUAUAUCAGUACUCUGCUUCCCUGCUUCUUUUUCUGCAGGAGUAUUGUGUUUAUAAAGGGGUUGGGUUUACAUAAAAAAAAAAAAAUAGGAGUUACACUUUCUACCCAUGAAAUUUUAUCCUAUGUUAAAUCAAUCUUUGAUGAUCACACCUACCACUUCUGAGGAGAUAUACAUACAACUUAUUCUGCAUAAAUUUCAAGGUUUCAGUGUGCAGUUCUCUAAUAUAAAACAAAUCAGGAUCUUUUUCACCUGUCUUGGUCUUGAUGACAUAGUACUUCUGAGCUCCAAAUUCAUUCAAAUUCUCAACUCAGAGUAAUUGUUCAUUGGCUCAUACUGCUGAACACCAUCAAAAUGGAAACUACUCCUUCCUUUUGGUGAUGGAUUCUGGAUGAAUUUACAAAUUCUUUGCAAAAAGCAUUUGAUUUGCAUCCAGGUAGAAUCCUGAGUAGUACCUGUUGGAUUCUGAGGCUGAUUUGCUGUUUAUCCACUACAACAUUUUGAUUGUGGUCAUUUUCAUGAUGUUUCAAUUAAAUCAUAAUUGAUUUUAUCUUAGUUCCUUAACUAGUCUACAAAAUACUUGUAUACUUAUUUUAAGAGUUUAUUAAUAAUUGCUUAAGUUUUUCUAUUUGAAAAUACAAAAAAACCCAAACAACAAAAAACCCACACACAACAUUCACUCCCCCCACCCCCCCAAAAA